GUCUGUAAUGACAUGGAAGUUAUCUGCUGACCGAGCUAAUCCCAGAAACCAUGCACUUCUUCAGAAGCGCCAGUUCUUCUAUUCUCACAGAGCUCAGCCCAUGACACUUGAUCAAGUAUUGUCCGAUCAGGAUAGUGAGGACAAGGUUGAUGAUGACAUUGCAGACUUUAAAGAUCGGAGGGUAUGAUUUGAUUAUUAAACUGUUUCCA